CUUUAUAAGAGCAGAAAGUUCCAGAACUCCUUCAUUUUACCACCUUCACUCUUGGUGGCAGAACCUGAUGGAGUGAAGUAAUGGUCCCUGAGCUUUCACAGGCUGUGGAUAGAGUCUGAGGUUCCACAGGAGAUGGGAAGCCCUGCCAUUCCUUCCAAGUUCAGCACUGAGGUGCAGCAAUACUUUGUAAACAACUUGAACCUUUUACUCCAGAAAUUUGAAACUACAUCUCCACACAAGCCAUAACCUCAUGUUCUUGCAUAAAAUCUGUGCUGGCAGAGGAGGAGGGAGUCUGAGCUGUGGGGAUCCUGCUGGAGAGAGGAGAGUGAGCCCAGCUGUGCAAUCUUCACUGCCACAAGGGUACAGGGAGCCUUCACAGAUGGAAUGUGGCCUUGCACUGAUUAAAUAACCAUUUGUAUUCUCCUGAAGUAGAAGAUGGGAAUACCCUGUCUGAACAAGGGUGUUUCCUCUCAUUCCCAGAGGAAGCACGUGCAAGGGAUGCUUCACCUCUGAGACUCUUGUAUAAUAUCUGCACAAAUCCACUAACUUCAAUGAAAGACAGAUUUCCCCCAAGUAAUUCCUUACAAGAAUGCUCAAAACAGCAGUUGGAAACCCAAACAAAACAUUCCAAAUCCCGAGGAAUUCUGCAGGAGGCUUUUCAAAGCAGCAAUCCAUAAUGAAUUUGAGUGGGCUCUUCCAUCUCCCAAAAGCAGCAAAACUAAAUUAGCCAAUCUGGCACAGCAGAUGAGACAGGAUAAAGGUGAUAUUCCCCUCAGAGCUGGGAAAUAAUAAUAACCAGUGUGAGGAGCUGCUUGAACUCCUUCCCUCAUUUCCCCCAUAACUGAGAUUCGUGGAUGCUGGACUUCAGACUGAAAAGAGCGUCUUGUUAUAGCUGAAAAUCUCAGAGGUGCUAUAGAUGCAAUUUUAGAAAAAGCAGAUGCUCUUUUUUUGUGUGUUCUGCAUGUCUGUACAUAACUGUGGCAAGAUUGUAUGAAUUUAGAAUUGAGGAGAAGUUUUCCUGCCAGGAGGACAGAGUUGCAAGGCACAGACUUGGAAAUGGCUCUCAGGAUUUUUGAAGGAGACAUUGUGGAUGUUGACAAAUGCACAGGAUUAUCUGGUGGUCUUGUGUGUCUCGUUGUUAUUGACCAAAGAGGAAAGAAAAUACUGAGGCUACUCAUUCAUUUAUAGGAAAUACAAGAUAAACAGUCCAAAAAGUGCUUUGGUCACUAGUCAAAAGGACAAAUGAGAAGGAAACAAUUCGCUGGGUAAUCAGAUUGUGAUGCUUUGCUGGUGUUUCCUGCAGGAGUACCUUGGAAAUGUUGUUAAUUUAACAUCAAGCAUCCAAAGAUAGUGUUAAUUCUUAUUACAUCAGCAGGCACAGUAUAUAAAUCUCCCAAUGACCUAAGAAGUGAGAGAAUAAGAUUAAAAUGUCUUAGAAAAACAAUCAGAUAGUAAUUGUGAAAGAAAAAAUCUAUUAGCCAAAUUCAAAUAAGAGUUAACAGUUCUGUCCAUUUAUUCUGAGAUUUAAUCCAGUGUUUUCCAUCACUAGUCUGAAAGCUUACAUAACAUAAAAGAAUCCUAAAAGUUUGUCUGCCUUUUAUUUUCUUUUAUUUGGUUGUUAUUUCUACUACUUUGCAGUAUUUGAAAUGGCAAACUUUUGACUUAAAUUGAUUUCUGAGCACAGAUGUCCUAAAAAUAAUA